ensembl:snRNA U6 U6 spliceosomal RNA
AGUACCUGUUCAGUAGCACAUACUAAAACCGAAACAACACAGAGAAGAUUGCAUGGUCCCUGCACAAGGCUGACAUGCAAAUUUGUGAAGUGUUCCCUAUUUUU